rnacentral:rRNA from 1 species
UACGUAGGGAGCAAGCGUUGUCCGGAAUCAUUGGGCGUAAAGCGCGCGUAGGCGGCCCGAUAAGUCCGCUGUAAAAGUCAACGGCUCAACUGUUGAAAGCCGGUGGAUACUGUCGGGCUAGAGUACGGAAGAGGCAAGUGGAAUUCCUGGUGUAGCGGUGGAAUGCGCAGAUAUCAGGAGGAACACCGGUGGCGAAGGCGGCAUCCUGGACCGACAUUGACGCUGAGGAGCGAAAGCUAGGGGAGCAAACGGG